rnacentral:rRNA from 1 species
GACGAAGGAUGCAAGCGUUAUCCGGAUUCAUUGGGUUUAAAGGGAGCGUAGGCGGUCCUAUAAGUCAGUGGUGAAAUCUCUCGGCUUAACCGAGAAAUUGCCAUUGAUACUGUAGGACUUGAGUACAGUUGCCGUUGGCGGAAUAUGACAUGUAGUGGUGAAAUACAUAGAGAUGUCAUAGAACACCGAUUGCGAAGGCAGCUAACGAAGCUGUAACUGACGCUGAGGCUCGAAAGUGCGGGGAUCAAACAGG